rnacentral:rRNA from 1 species
CACGUAGGGCGCAAGCGUUGUCCGGAAUCACUGGGCGUAAAGGGCGUGUAGGCGGAUCGGCAAGUCGGGCGUGAAAUCCCUGGGCUCAACCCAGGAACUGCACUCGAAACUGCCUUUCUUGAGUGCCGGAGAGGAAAGCGGAAUACCUGGUGUAGAGGUGAAAUUCGUAGAUAUCAGGUGGAACACCAGUGGCGAAGGCGGCUUUCUGGACGGUAACUGACGCUGAGACGCGAAAGCGUGGGGAGCAAACAGG